UAGGGAAUCUUCCGCAAUGGACGCAAGUCUGACGGAGCAACGCCGCGUGAGUGAAGAAGGUUUUCGGAUCGUAAAACUCUGUUGUAAGAGAAGAACAAAUUGUAGAGUAACUGCUACAGUCUUGACGGUAUCUUACCAGAAAGCCACGGCUAACUACGUGCCAGCAGCCGCGGUAAUACGUAGGUGGCAAGCGUUGUCCGGAUUUAUUGGGCGUAAAGCGCGCGCAGGUGGUUUAGAAAGUCUGAUGUGAAAGCCCACGGCUCAACCGUGGAGGGUCAUUGGAAACUAAUAAACUUGAGUGCAGGAGAGAAAAGUGGAAUUCCUAGUGUAGCGGUGAAAUGCGUAGAGAUUAGGAGGAACACCGGUGGCGAAAGCGGCUUUUUGGCCUGCAACUGACACUGAGGCGCGAAAGCGUGGGGAGCAAACAGG
rnacentral:rRNA from 1 species